UACGUAGGGGGCGAGCGUUGUCCGGAAUUAUUGGGCGUAAAGCGCGCGCAGGCGGUCUUUUAAGUCUGAUGUGAAAGCCCACGGCUUAACCGUGGAGGGUCAUUGGAAACUGGGAGACUUGAGUACAGAAGAGGAGAGUGGAAUUCCACGUGUAGCGGUGAAAUGCGUAGAGAUGUGGAGGAACACCAGUGGCGAAGGCGACUCUCUGGUCUGUAACUGACGCUGAGGCGCGAAAGCGUGGGUAGCGAACAGG
rnacentral:rRNA from 1 species